CGCGUAGGUGGUUGUGUAAGUCGGAUGUGAAAUCCCCAGGCUCAACUUGGGAACCGCAUCCGAUACUGCAUGACUCGAGUGCAGCAGAGGGAAACGGAAUUCCUGGUGUAGAGGUGAAAUUCGUAGAUAUCAGGAGGAACACCGGUGGCGAAGGCGGUUUCCUGGGCUGACACUGACACUGAGGCGCGAAAGCGUGGGUAGCAAACAGGAUUAGAUACCCUGGUAGUCCACGCUGUAAACGGUGAGUGCUGGGUGUGGGAGGUGUAAUGCCUUCUGUGCCGAAGCUAACGCGUUAAGCACUCCGCCUGGGGAGUACGGCCGCAAGGUUGAA
rnacentral:rRNA from 1 species